UACGAAGGGGGCUAGCGUUGCUCGGAAUUACUGGGCGUAAAGCGCACGUAGGCGGUCUUUUAAGUCGGGGGUGAAAUCCUGGAGCUCAACUCCAGAACUGCCUUGAUACUGGACGACUCGAGUCCGGGAGAGGUGAGUGGAACUGCGAGUGUAGAGGUGAAAUUCGUAGAUAUUCGCAAGAACACCAGUGGCGAAGGCGGCUCACUGGCCCGGUACUGACGCUGAGGUGCGAAAGCGUGGGGAGCAAAC
rnacentral:rRNA from 1 species